AAUGGACAAACAGAAAUAAUCUUUUUCUUCAUAUAAUUUUAGAAAUGUUUGUAACCGUCGGUAUAUUGCUACUAUAAGCGAUAAUUAAGUUAUUGAUUUAUGUUUGAGUUCAUGAGUUGAUCACGAGUUUUUCAUAAGUUGUAAAUAAAAACUAAGGAGACAUCACCUUUCUUUUUUCCAUUUCCUAGACAACAUCGCAAAGCAAAUUGAAAAAAAAUUUGCAUGUUUGGUAAAUCAACACAAGUAUUUUUUACGAAGAUAGAACAAAGAAGGGGGUAAAGAAAAUGUAAACGUCGUAAAUUGGACAUACAAAUCCGAGUGUCUUGACUUGACAGACCUUGACUCACCUUGACACAAAAUAUUCCUUCAUAAUUAAAAAUCAAAUAACGCUACACUACUACAAAUUGAAUUAAGCCUGAAGGGUGUGGCAAACUAUGUGCCAGGAUAUGGCGAAAGAAUAUGUUCCCAGCAAAUCACACAAAAAUAUUAAAAAAUGUAAAAAAUUUAAUUGAUGACGUAGAUGAAAGAAAUCUUACGAGUUUUUUCAACGUAAAAGUGAAAGGAGAAUCAGUAGAGACGUUAAGUGCCAGUAAUAUAGAAAAUAAUAUUUGAUUAAAGAUGAUAUACAUGAAUUUAAUACAAUGGUUAGAAAAAUAAUCUAACGAGAAGAGACAUUCAAUAUACUAAUAAAUUACAAAAAAUAGUUUUGACAUUUGAAAAAAAUCUAAAAUUAAAUAUGGAUUAGCACAAGAAACAACACUGUCAGACAUAUCAAGAGCAGCUAUAGAAAUAAAAGGGAUAUAAUAAUAAGAAAAGGUAUGAUGAGAAAUAAUAUAAAAAAUACGAAUAUUGUGAUGCCACGUGGCAUACAGUAAGGUAUCGUCUAAUUAUUGUAUGAAAAGAUGUAAUAAAAAAGUCACACAAUUGA